rnacentral:lncRNA from 1 species
GAGAGAGGAGAGGAGAGGGAAAGGGAAAGGGGGAUACCUAGUCAGUUGUACAACUGAAUGCCUUCAACUGAACUGUGUCUUCCGAAUUUAACCCAACCCCUCUGAAUCAGAGAGGUUCGGAGGGCUGCCUUAAGAGAGCUUCACUCAUUAUGGACAGCUACUAAGCGCUUCAGCACUCGGCGGUCCUGUUCUGUGAGCUUGUGUGGCCUACCACUUCGCAGCUGAGCUGUUAUUGCUCCAAGACGUUUCCACUUCACAAUAACAGCACUUACAGUUGACCGGGGCAGCUCUAGCAGGGCAGACAUUUGACAAACUAACUUGUUGGAAAGGUGGCGUCCUAUGAUGGUGCCACGUUGAAAGUCAGUGAGCUCUUCAGAAGAAGGCAAUGAGGGGGCUGCAGUACGUUGGCAUGGCCAAACACGGUGUGGAAUUAGAGUUUCAGGCAUUAAGCUGCACAGGCCACAGUGACCCAAGACCAGGUUGACAUUCAGAGCCUUACCCACCAUGACAAUACUGUUCCCUGGUCAGGGAUGAAAGGAGGGCUGGUCUUUCUGGAGAGAGAACCAAGAGGCGGGGACAGGGACAAGAGCUCCAUUGGGAGGGGUGAGUAGAAGACGGGUUGACUCCAUGGUCCGUAUAGAAUGCCACCGGCCCAGCACACACAGACGGCAAAACCCCAACACCUAUCUAUGCACGGAGGUUGUCCAUUGUGACAUAAGGUUGACAUGAAUUGGCUUGUAUUGGCAAAGCUGUAGGUGCUGUAAGUACUGGGAUCGACUGGCGCAGGAACUAACUUCAGCAUGGACAAUAGGAGAGACAAACUCAUCAGAGAUGGGUUAGGUCAAGAUGUGUUUAUAUUAUAUUGCCUGGUCCCAGAUCGGUUUGUGCUGUCUUGCCAACCCUGGUCCCAGAUCUGUUUGUGCUGUCCUACUAACUCGGCAAGGCAGUACCAACAGAUCUGGGGCUAGGCUAGAUGAUAUAUCGUGGGUGUCUUUUUUCCUGCAUUUUGAAUGAGGGCCAGUGUUUUCAUCAAAGCUGAUAGGAGAUUAGUGAGGGUGUCACACAGGGAGACAGAGGAGGGCCAUCUGCAUACCUCACACCUUUCAGCGACAACACACAGAAUCACGUCUGUAGUGUCGCUCAGACAGGGGUGGAAACAUCUGCAAAAACCAACACAAACACCACACAUAUAUGCACACAUACAAAAACACACAUACACACACAUACACGUAAACACAAACACACUUGUAUUACUUCCUGGAAGCCACUCAUGACGAAAGAGCCACCUUAAGAAAACACACGAGAUUGAUUUCAUUAAACGGGUAGUUAAUGUUUUUCACAACUCAUUAAAGAUAAUUGCAAUCCUUUUCUCUUUGAGUGACACUAGUUAUUGACUAUCAGGCAGAAAUAGCGGUUGAUGUUAUUGACAUGCUUUACCGCUUCUCUGCAGGGACGCU